GCCAACAAGGUCAGGACGUCUGUCCGCACCCCCCAGAAAGGCCGGGAGUGCUCUGCUGAGGGCGGAAGAGGCUACAGCAUCUAAGAGCAAACUCUUCCCUGCAAGUGUGGGCCUGAUUUUCAGGCAGAAACUGAGUUUCUAGGACGAAACAGGCUAAUGAGUCCCUGAGAAGCAGCAAUUCCACCCUUGGGGGAUCCAGCCUGAAUGCAUUCAAGAGCUCUCCACCCUGGAGGCCACGGCAAGGAACCAGGCUGGCUUCUACUUCAGGAGCUGGCAGAACCCCAGAGGAUAACGAGGAUUCUGCGCUGGAAUUUUAAAACUUCAAAAUCAGGCCUUGGUGGUGCUGGAAUUUUCUUGCCCGAGAAUAGCAAUCUCACACUCAUUGGAAGGGGGUGUUGUGCUUUCCUUCGAGAGCUGAUCCCUGGCUAUUCCUGAUUCAGGAGCUCUGUUCCCUGGCUAUUCCUGAUUCAGGAGCUGUUUCCUUGUUCUUCCUGAUUCAGGAACUCUGACCCCAGGUCAGUGCGCUACUAAUUAUCAAACCUGAGUUUGUGAGAGUUCAAGAGAAAAGAGCAUAUGCUGGUAACUCAGAAAUACAGAGCACCUUAAAUCUCUGCAGGUCUGCUCUUCUGCUUCUGAGGUUGCCCAAAGAGCAAGCACUCAGCCGAAACGGGGCUUUCAUUUUCAGACUUCCCUUCUUUGAGUAGAGGGUGAAAUGCCUGAAAAGUUGCUAGCCUCUGCAUACACACCUGGCAGGUAAGGUCCCAGGAUCAGGAGGGGCCUUCUGGCACUGCUCAUCACCCGGCAAGAACCAUCAGCAAAGCAACCACUGACAACUCCCAGAAUCCAGCUGCCUCUGGAGGCCCGAGGAGUAUGGAUUUAUGACAGCAGCAGCCUUGACACCAGGCGGUAAGAAGCUGCUGCCUGCUUAGAGCAGAGUUCAAGCCCCAUCACCAUGAAAGCUGCCUCUCAAACAGGAAGAGUGUGGUGCUUCAGCGACGGGAGGAAGAGCUGGUAUUGUUGCCUGAUGGGAGCCAGAAGUCCCAAAGAGAAAGGCAUGAAAACACCCUUUUCCGAGUAAGGAAGCAGACUUAGAACUCUAGAGGCUCUAUUUCUGCCUCUUCAUCCUGACGUCCCCAGUACAGAUGUCCACAUGAUCAUCUGGUCUGGAGGCUGCCUGUGAUCCAGGGUUCGGACUCAGGCAAAACUAGACGUCAAUGGCAAUUCUGUCACUUACUAGAACUCAUACAUCUAAGCAUUUUGCUUUAUCUCUGAUCAUCGGGGUUUUCAUCUGCAAAACAGGAAAAAGAUAUCGUACAACUGUAAAGAAUAAACAAGAGGGGGAGUCCCUGUCGUGGCUCAGCAGUUAAUGAACCCGACUAACAUCGAUGAGGACUUGGGUUCAAUCCCCGGCCUCACUCAGUGGGUUAAGGAUCUGGCGUUGUGGUGAGCUGUGGUGUAGGUUGCAGACGCUGCUCGGAUUCUGAGUGGCCAUGGCUGUGGUGUGGGCAGGCAGCUGUAGCUCCGAUUUGACCCCUAACCUGGGAGCUUCCAUAUGCUGCGGGUGCGGCCCUAAAAAGAAAAAAGACAAAAUAAAUAAAUGAAUAAAUAAACAAGGGGACCCAAGAGUUUCGCACACACCCUGCUGUGCACAUAGAAUUUCAUGCUGCCGGCUACUACCCCCAGUUCUCUGUGGGGACCAGCCUUCCCAUCUGUCCCCCCACCCUGGAGCUCAUCUCUAAGCCUCUUCCCCACCCCAGGCCCAUCGCUUUUGUCCCACUCCCCAUCCCAUACUUUCUGGCCAUGGUGACAAAUGCCUCACUUUCUUGCAAGGUGAUCUGUAGCAAUAAAGACCAACAUGUUAAACUAAGUUCAUCCAGGAAUAUUCCUUUUUAAGAACAUUUUUGAGUGUAAUACUAGAAAUGUGUACUUCACACUUUGAAAACUUUAAGUUAUAAUUCUUAAAAUGCUUUUUAAGUGUAGUAUCAGACAUGUAACACUCAACUAAAAUCGAAUCACAGUGGAUCAAAAAUGGAAUCUGACAUUCUUUUCUGAAGGCAAUUUUGGCUUAUAGAAGAUGAGUAAUAUCAUGCUAUGAGAAAUAAAGGGAAUUUACCUAAGCCUUCUGAAGUCUUAAAUUUUAUGAAAGUACAGGCAAAGAUCAAAGAUUAAGAAAAUCUCUAACAUGAAAGGCAGCAACGAAACCCAACACUAGAAAAACAAACUCGUAAGAAACAGAAAAUGCAGCAGUAAAAUAAUUUUUAAAAAAAUAACUAAAAUUAGUAUGCUGAGAGAUAAGAUUCUAUACUCAUGAAAUAAGAAAAAGAUUUAAUUAAAAAAGGAGCAUUUCAUGACCAAAAUGGAUUUAAAAAAUAAAUUUAUGAGAGCAAAAGUAAAAAUUCAGUUUGAAGGGCUGAAGUUAAAAGUUAAAGAAAUCUCAUAGAAAACAAUAAAAAGACAAAAGAAGGAAACAGAAAAGAAAAAAAAAAUAAGAAAACUAGUGGCUUCAUUCAAGAUAACUGGUGUUCCAGAAAGAGCAAACAGAGAAAAUGAAGGUGAGAAAAAUAAUGAAAGAAAUAGAUGCAAACUAUUGCCUUUGGAAUGGAUAAGCAAUGAGAUCCUGCUGUACAGCACUGGGAACUCUGUCUAGUCACUUGUGAUGGAGCAGGAUGGAGGAUAAUGUGAGAAAAAGAAUGUAUAUAUGUAUGUGUGGCUGGGUCACUUUGCUGUACAGCAGAAAAAUGACAGAACACUGUAAACCAGCUACAAUGGAAAAAAUAAAAAUAAUUUAAAAAAUAAUGAAAGAGAUGCUUAUUGACAUCCUUAUCUUUCUCAGGUUGGUGGAUGGCAGGGGCCCAGAUAUGAGAGCAGAGUGGCUUUCAGGGAGAACUCACUCUUGCCCAUAGUCCUAAAUAUGUUCUCCAACAUCCUAGAACAAGACCAAUUAUCUUUUAAUUUGAUCAAUUAAAAGGAAAAAGGAGGAGUUCCCUUUGUGUCUCAGGGUAACAAACCUGACUAGUAUCCAUGAGGAUAUGGGUUCAAUUCCCAGCUUUGCUUGGUGGGUUAAGGAUCUGGUGAACUUUUCCAUGCCAAAAGUGAGUUUGGUCCAAAAAAUAAAAAUAUAUUUCAAAAAGAAAGAAAGAAAAGCAGGGCUGCUGGAGCGCCCGAGUCCUGCCUGCACUUACCAUCUGAAUAUUGCUCCUCUGUCCACCAUGCACACCCCAUUCCAGCCGCUGCUCAGCUGUCUUUCUGCUUCUGUUUCAUGAGGUUGUCC
rnacentral:lncRNA from 1 species